rnacentral:rRNA from 1 species
CCUACGGGAGGCAGCAGUGGGGAAUAUUGCACAAUGGGCGAAAGCCUGAUGCAGCAACGCCGCGUGAACGAUGAAGGUCUUCGGAUCGUAAAGUUCUGUUGCAGGGGAAGAUAAUGACGGUACCCUGUGAGGAAGCCCCGGCUAACUACGUGCCAGCAGCCGCGGUAAUACGUAGGGGGCUAGCGUUAUCCGGAUUUACUGGGCGUAAAGGGUGCGUAGGUGGUCCUUCAAGUCGGUGGUUAAAGGCUACGGCUCAACCGUAGUAAGCCGCCGAAACUGGAGGACUUGAGUGCAGGAGAGGAAAGUGGAAUUCCCAGUGUAGCGGUGAAAUGCGUAGAUAUUGGGAGGAACACCAGUAGCGAAGGCGGCUUUCUGGACUGCAACUGACACUGAGGCACGAAAGCGUGGGUAGCAAACAGGAUUAGAUACCCCAGUAGUC